rnacentral:rRNA from 1 species
GAGUUUGAUCCUGGCUCAGAACGAACGCUGGCGGCGUGCUUAACACAUGCAAGUCGAACGUGAUCCGGAGCUUGCUCCGGUGAAAGUGGCGCACGGGUGAGUAACGCGUGGAUAAUCUGCCCUGGUAUCUGGGAUAACAUCUCGAAAGGGGUGCUAAUACCGGAUAAGCCUACGGUCUCUUCGGAGUCUGCAGUAAAAGGUGGCCUCUAUUUAUAAGCUACCGUAUCAGGAUGAGUCCGCGUACCAUUAGCUAGUUGGCGGGGUAAUGGCCCMCCAAGGCUACGAUGGUUAGCUGGUCUGAGAGGAUGAUCAGCCACACUGGAACUGAGACACGGUCCAGACUCCUACGGGAGGCAGCAGUGGGGAAUUUUGCGCAAUGGGGGAAACCCUGACGCAGCAACGCCGCGUGAGUGAUGAAGGCUUUCGGGUCGUAAAGCUCUGUCAGAGGGGAAGAAAUGAGUCUGGCUAAUAUCCAGAUUUCUUGACGGUACCCUCAAAGGAAGCACCGGCUAACUCCGUGCCAGCAGCCGCGGUAAUAC